rnacentral:rRNA from 1 species
CCUACGGGCGGCAGCAGUGAGGAAUAUUGGUCAAUGGGCGAGAGCCUGAACCAGCCAAGUCGCGUGAAGGAUGACGGCCCUACGGGUUGUAAACUUCUUUUGUCAGGGAGCAAGUGGGUCCACGCGUGGGCUUAGCGAGAGGACCUGAAGAAAAAGCAUCGGCUAACUCCGUGCCCGCAGCCGCGGUAAUACGGAGGAUGCGAGCGUUAUCCGGAUGUAUUGGGUUGAAAGGGUGCGUAGGCGGAAUAUCAAGUCAGCGGUAAAAAUUCGGGGCUCAACCCCGUCGUGCCGUUGAAACUGAUGUUCUUGAGUGGGCGAGAAGUAUGCGGAAUGCGUGGUGUAGCGGUGAACUGCAUAGAUAUCACGCAGAACUCCGAUUGCGAAGGCAGCAUACCGGCGCCCAACUGACGCUGAAGCACGAAAGCGUGGGUAUCGAACAGGAUUAGAUACCCGUGUAGUC